AAAAACAUAAUAUCGGGGCCCUUUUUAUAGCCCGAAAAUACCACUUAUUUUUCUAUUUUUCUCUAAUCGUUAUUAGAUUCUUCUAGCUUGUUCGUUUUGUAGGUACAAGGCCGUUAGCCAGCUGGCGUACGAAACGGCGCGCACGGGGGAGGCGACAGCAGUUAGGGCGACGGCGGCUACGGUUUUCCCUCCUUUUUUGCUGCUGAAAAUGUUUAGUUUUGGGGCUAUUGGGCCACUAGGGUUUUUGUUGCAUUUGGACUGAUUUGGAUUUUAGGUUUGG
rnacentral:lncRNA from 1 species